AUACAUAUAUAUAUAUAUAUGUGUAUAUAUAUAUACACACAUAUGUAUAUAUAUACACAUAUAUAUGUGUAUAUAUAUACACAUACAUAUAUACGUAUAUAUAUAUAUAGA
rnacentral:miRNA from 10 species